UCUUUAGCAUGAAUCAGUUUUCCAGUGAUUGUUUUACAAAAAAUAAAGAAAAGCAAAUUUAUAUUCAAGCGACACAUUUUCACAUAUUAAAAUGAUAAGUAAAUUUUUUUCAGUUAAUCCGUAAAAGGUCACAAAUCUAGUUUUUUUUUUUGUUAAAAGGUUUAAAUUUUGUUUUUUUUAAUCUAAUAAAUCAAUAACUUUCUUGUAUUCCCGCUGGAAACACACCAUUGGUUAUGACUUAUGAGCAUAGUACAAUAAAAUAUUGGCAUUUACCCCCAAGUUGUAAGAAAAUAAUAUACAUAAAUUUAAUGAUGCCCAAUUUAUAAAACAAGAAAAAACAUAUUAAAUCUAUACUGAAAUAUUUAUAACCCCUAAAUUUUAAAGCUGACAUUUUGGGUUUGAUCGGUAAAGUUGAUAACAAAACAUUAACAGUAUGCUACAAAGAAGUAUGCUACAAAAUCAGUAUAUUUUCCUAAAUGUAUUUAAAUAAGAUGAUUGGUAGAUCACUAAAUAAUUCAUAUGUAUAACUAUCAUAUAAAAUUAGUAUAUGAUAUAUAAGUUCUUAUUUCUAAAUAAGAUAAAUAUAUUUAUUAGUUAUAAUCAUUGUUGAUUGGGAUAAUAAUGAACAUAAUGUGUAUUUUAAUGCUCUGUCAAUCAAGACUGCAACUUCUACUAGAAUUAAAUCCAGACGGUAGAAAUUAGUUUAAUAAUCACUUUUAGACAACUUGCAAUGGGUAUGUUGAAUCAUUUAUUUCAACUUUUGAAUGCUUUCAAUGGACAAAAAAAAACUAGGUGGAUUAAUCAAUGUUGAUAGUUUUCAACAUGUUAAAACUAGAAAAUGGGGUCCACCAGAGCAACAUGUUAUCUUUUUAUUGGUGAUUUAAAUUGCUGAGACUUUCUUUUUACAUCUUUAAUUUUUCAUAUUAAUUAUUUUAUAGCAAAUUAAUUUAUUUAUUCUACUAUAUAUUAAAUGAGAAGUCAUUUUAGGGAUUUUUGCUUACGUGUCGAUCAUAGGUAAACUCUUACAAAAUUGUUAUAAUUUGAUUGAUCGAUGAUUUUUAAUUUUUAUUUAUUUUAAUUAUAUCUAAAAAGAAAAGGUAAAUCUAGAACCAAUUAAUAUCACUUUUCAUAUAUAAAAAAUUAGUUACCUUAUGGUAACUCUUAAAAAUAAAAAAUGAUCAAUUUAUUUCUCUUUCUAUAAUUUCCACAAUUACUUACCAUAAGGUAACUAUAAUUUCAACAAUUAGUUACCAUAAAUCAUUAUUUGUAAUAUUAUUAUGGAGUAUUAUUUAAAAGUAAACAAAAUUAUUAUGUAAUAUAAUUUCAACAAUUAAUCACCUAUGAUCGACACGUAAGUAAAAUUCACUACAGUGUUCAAAAUACAGGCGUAGGUAGCUAAUUGUUGAAAUUAUUACAAAUAAUGAUUUAUUGUAACUAAUUGCUGAAAUUAUAGAAAGAGAAAUAAAUUGAUAAUUUUUAUAUUUAAAAAUACAUAAAAUAAUAAACAACAGACCAUUUAUAAAUCAAUAUAAUGAAUUUAUAUUCUUAUUUAAAAGCAUUAUAUUUUAUAUAAAUUAUCAUAAUAACUAUUAACAUCUCCUAAAGUUCAUAUUAUAUGCUUUAUAAAACAUCUAUAAAAACAUUUUUUAAAAUAUUUAUCUUGGCUUAUUUUAUAUUUUAAAUUAUUAUAACAGUUUGUAAUUCAUCUAUAAGAGCUUAAAAUCAAAGCUAUAUAUCAUACUAUAUAUUAAUUGAUAAGUAAUUUCAGAGAUUUUUGGUUAUGUGUCGAUCAUUUAUGAAAUCUUAAAAGACUGUUAUAAAUAGAUUGUCGAUACUUCAUAAUUUUUAUUUAUUUUUAUUUAUUUUGAUUAGAUUUAAAAGAAAAAAUAAGUCUAUAAACAGUUAAUAUCACUUGCCAAAAAUCUACAUAAUAUUACAAAUAGUUAUUUAUGGCAAGUAAUUGUUGAAACUAUAGAAAAAGUAAUAAUGUUUGAUCAUUUUUUAUAUAUUUAUAAACUACAUAAAAUAGUAA